GACGAACGCUGGCGGCGUGCCUAAUACAUGCAAGUUGAGCGCUGAAGGUUGGUACUUGUACCAACUGGAUGAGCAGCGAACGGGUGAGUAACGCGUGGGGAAUCUGCCUUUGAGCGGGGGACAACAUUUGGAAACGAAUGCUAAUACCGCAUAAAAACUUUAAACACAAGUUUUAAGUUUGAAAGAUGCAAUUGCAUCACUCAAAGAUGAUCCCGCGUUGUAUUAGCUAGUUGGUGAGGUAAAGGCUCACCAAGGCGAUGAUACAUAGCCGACCUGAGAGGGUGAUCGGCGACACUGGGACUGGGACACGGCCCAAACGCCUACGGGAGGCAGCAGUAGGGGAACUUUGGCAAAGGACGCAAGGCUGACACAGAAACGCCGCGUGAGUGAAGAAGGGUUUCGGAUCGUAAAAAUCUGUUGGUAGAGAAGAACGUUGGUGAGAGUGGAAAGCUCAUCAAGUGACGGUAACUACCCAGAAAGGGACGGCUAACUACGUG
rnacentral:rRNA from 1 species